GGAAAUUGAAGUAUUUCCGUAUAAAAGAGCUAAAAGAUGUGCUCACUCAGUUACAACUUUCAAAGCAGGGAAAGAAGCAGGAUCUUGUUGAUCGCAUAUUAUCCGUUCUCUCAGAUGAACAAGUUUCGAAAAUGUGGGCUAAGAAGAAUGUUGUUGGAAAAGAACAAGUGGC